rnacentral:tRNA from 1 species
GUGAAUUUAGUUUAAAAGAAAAAACAAUUGACUUGCAAUCAACAACUCUAAGUUUAAGCCUUAGAAUUUACA